CCUACGGGUGGCAGCAGUGAGGAAUAUUGGUCAAUGGGCGCGAGCCUGAACCAGCCAAGUCGCGUGAGGGAAGACGGUCCUAUGGAUUGUAACCCUCUUUUGUCGGGGAGCAAAAGACGCCACGCGUGGCGUUCCGAGAGUACCCGACGAAAAAGCAUCGGCUAACUCCGUGCCAGCAGCCGCGGUAAUACGGAGGAUGCGAGCGUUAUCCGGAUUUAUUGGGUUUAAAGGGUGCGCAGGGGGAAGAUCAAGUCAGCGGGAAAAUUGAGAGGCUCAACCUCUUCGAGCCGUUGAAACUGGUUUUCUUGAGUGAGCGAGAAGUAUGCGGAAUGCGUGGUGUAGCGGUGAAAUGCAUAGAUAUCACGAAGAACUCCGAUUGCGAAGGCAGCAUACCGGCGCUCAACUGACGCUCAUGCACGAAAGUGUGGGUAUCGAACAGGAUUAGAUACCCUAGUAGUC
rnacentral:rRNA from 1 species